CCGCCCCCAGUCCCAGUGUCUGCCUGUAGUGGAAAUCUAUCAUUUCCAUUCAUCCCUUACCCUCUUUUUGGAAAGAGCAUGCCAAUGCUCCUUGGAAGAACCAUCUCUCCCCUGGUUUCCAUGUAUCCCUUCCCUUCUCCAGCUCCAGGGAUCUGCACACAUCUGGCAAGUGAGAGCACUCCAUCCCUCAAGCUCAGUGACUGGUUCACAGAUGGCCACAUGAGUCAACCCAGGCCAAUGAGAUCAAUCCCAGGAUUUUUUUCUGCUGAGUUGUGAAGCUAGUGUGAUGAGUCUAGAAUUCAUCUUUGCCACCAGUUGGAGAUAGACUGCUUGAAAAAGAAACCAAACAGUGGAAAAUUUUGCCAAAUCUUGCUUUGGACUUGCUGUAGAUCCAAUAAUUUAUUUAGUUCUCCUAACAACAGUAGGGUAUGUGUAGGAGGAUUGAGGACAAGACUCCAAUUAAGAGAUCCUUCCUAGACUCUCUCCAGCCAUUGCUCCAUCCCAUAAAGCCAGGAGGAAAUUGAUCGCUUGGCACCUACAUUCACGAUGACCCACUUCUCCAAAAAUUUCACCAUUGGAUGGCCUCUCUUGUCACGACACCAAGGCCUCAGAGGUAUGAAAAACACAGACCUCACCCAGAAGAAAAAGCUUAUCCUCUUUCAGAACGCAUGACUAUAUGUCAAGAUAAUGAUCUUCAGCUCUGCUAUGAGGAAACAUUUACAAGCAGCCCCUCCAGAAUCACAAAAUCUACUUUGCCAGACAUUCCUGGUCAGGGAGGGAACUGGAGAAUCUCUUUCCUACAUGACUUUUACAUUCUUUUGGUUCUGAAAUAUGAAACUUACAAAAUUUAAAUUUCAUCCCCAAAUUCCUAAAUGCCUGUGAGGUGGACCCACUGGGUUGACUUCUUAUGGGCAGUACUGGCCCUUUGGCAAGAGCUGAGCCACCUUCAGGUGAAGCUGCUCUCUCUUUGAGAAACAUGGAUGUUCCACUUGGAUGGGAAGCUCUGGGAAGAUAUUGUAAAACUUACUUAGGAAAUAACCACAACCCUAAUACCAUGGACACACAACAGUCCACUUGGCAGAACACCUACCUGAGGAAUUACAGAAAAAAACCUCCUAAUAUUCUGCUAAACAUUUGAAAACCUAGCUCUAUCCAAAAAGAUCCUAUGAAUAUAUAGACACACUUUUGCACACAGACACAGACACACACACACAAACACACACGUAUUUCUUCAAGCAGAGUAGAAAACGGCAAAGUGAAUUUUUCUGGUCUGGGAAUUUUUACAAAAAUUCUUACAAAGAUGUAAAAAUUAAGUCCCAUUCAGUUCAACUCAUCCAGAAUUCUCUUUAUUGAAAAUAAGAAAUGUAGAGGAAAUUAGGACUGUCCUAGAAGUCCUUGGGAUACAUGCACGGUUAUAUCCAUGGGGUAUUGCAUCCCAUAUAGGAAGGAUGAGAGGCAUAAAAAUGAAGCCAGGGCUUGGGUCCUAUCCUCUUAAAGCAAAUAGAAAUCUCACUAGACACUUAAAAAUCCACAAUUCAUUAAUGCUCAAUCAAUUAUUUGAGCUACAAAAUGCUUUGACUGUCUGCAGGGCUAUUUGCAAAAUUAAUGCCUCAUGACUAGAGAUACCCAGUAUACACAAUAGUCUUCUCUUAAUAACCUAUGAGAUAACUUUAAUCCCAGGAAAAGGAAGACACAAAUACAGUCAUGUGCCUGUGAUCAAAGACAGACCGCAUAGAAGAUGAUGAUCCCAUAAGAUUAUAAUGGAGCUGAAAAAUUCCCAUCACCUAAUGAUGUCUUGAUGAUCCUGACCCUGUGUAGAUCUCGGCUAAUGUGUGCGCACGCGCGUGUGUGUGUGUGUGUGUGUUUCAUAGUUUUUAACAAAAAGGUUUAAAAAGUAAAAAAUAUAAAAAUGUUUAAAAGUAGGAAAAAGCUUUUAAACUAAGGAUAUAAAGAAGGAAAAUUUUUGUAUAACUGUACAAUGUGUUUGUGUUUUAAACUAUGUGGUUACAAGAGUCAUAAAAUUAAAAAAAGAUUAAAAGUAAAAUGGUUGCAG
rnacentral:lncRNA from 10 species